UGGAGAAAUCACAUCCUAUUGGUCACCUGCUUGGUAAACAACAGGUGGAGACUAACAGGGAAAUGUUUUCAACAAAGACAGAAUAAAGGAAAAGAUGUCCUGACAGAAGGUCAGAGGGAUAAUGUCCUGACAGAAGGUUAGAGGGAUAAUGUCCUGACAGAAUAAAGGAAAAGAUGUCCUGACAGAAUGUCAGAGGGAUAAUGUCCUGACAGAAGGUUAGAGGGAUAAUGUCCUGACAGAAGGUUAGAGGGAUAAUGUCCUGACAGAAUGUCAGAGGGAUAAUGUCCUGACAGAAGGUAAGAGGGAUAAUGUCCUGACAGAAUAAAGGAAAAGAUGUCCUGACAGAAGGUCAGAGGGAUAAUGUCCUGACAGAAGGUUAGAGGGAUACUGUCCUGACAGAAGGUUAGAGGGAUAAUGUCCUGACAGAAUGUCAGAGGGAUAAUGUCCUGACAGAAGGUCAGAGGGAUAAUGCCCUGACAGAAGGUCAGAGGGAUAAUGUCCUGACAGAAGGUUAGAGGGAUAAUGUCCUGACAGAAUGUCAGAGGGAUAAUGUCCUGACAGAAGGUCAGAGGGAUAAUGUACUGACAGAAGGUUAGAGGGAUAAUGUCCUGACAGA